rnacentral:lncRNA from 1 species
UAUCUUUUAUUCCUAGUAAUCUUUCAUAAUGCGAACCAAACGCACCCUAAAAGUAAAUUUCGGCUCAAUAGAACGUUUGACAAAUUUUUUUGCAAAAUCUGAUUCUGAUUUUUUUAAAUCAGUUUUCUAAUUUUCGAGAUCCAAAAUCAAAAGCAAUUAAAACUUACUUUUUGAAACCUAAUUCCGAUUCUAGACUUAAAGUUUAAAUUUUUAUUUUACUUUAAUAUUCAAAGUUUAUAUCUAAAUUCAAAUUUUAAAUUUUAUAUUUAAAUUUUUUAAUUUCAACUUUUAACUUUUAAAUUUCAAAUUUUGUGUGUGAUUAUAUAUAUCUAUUUAUUUAUUUAUAAAUAGUAAGUUUGAAUGAUUAAUAAAAUUAUACAAUUAUUUUAUGAAUAGUAAAGGUAAUCUCACCACUCUAUCUGAAAAUUUGACAAAAUUCACAAAUACAAACUAUCAGCUUCAUAUUACCAAACAGAAAAAAUGUAACUGUAGCAGUUGCAACUGUAUAAAACCAAACAGAAUAGGUGUAGUUACAACUACAACAUUUGCAAUUGUAUGUAUUUUCAACUAUACUAUUUCUACAACUACAUCUAACCAAACGGCCCCUAUGUAUCCAUAUACAUACAGCUAUGAUAUUU